AGAGUUUGAUCCUGGCUCAGGAUGAACGCUAGCGGCAGGCUUAACACAUGCAAGUCGAGGGGCAGCACAGGUGGCAACACCGGGUGGCGACCGGCGCAAGGGUGCGUAACACGUGAGCAACAUACCCGUUUCAGGAGGAUAACCGGAGGAAACUCUGCCUAAUACUCCAUGACAUCAUCAAACGGCAUCGUUUAAUGAUUAAAGAUUCAUCGGAAACGGCUUGGCUCGCGGGACAUUAGCUUGUUGGUGAGGUAACGGCUCACCAAGGCCACGAUGUCUAGGGGUUCUGAGAGGAAGGUCCCCCACACUGGAACUGAGACACGGUCCAGACUCCUACGGGAGGCAGCAGUGAGGAAUAUUGGACAAUGGUCGGAAGACUGAU
rnacentral:rRNA from 1 species